UUUAUUAUUUUAUUUUACAUGUGUUUAAAAUGUAUUUACUUUAUUUGUUGUUGGAAUCGCGACAUUCUUGCGGGUAACUUAACGUUAGAGCAAGUAACCCAUGUUUUAUAAAACCUAAACAGUACAACCUGCAAUGUAAUAAAAUAGUGGAGGUAAAUGAGUCUAUGUAACGUUACACUGAAGAUUUACAUAAGUGAUUUGUAGGCUGCUUUUUAGUAACAGCAGUAACUUAGCUAAGUUAUCACUGUGUUGCUUACAGUAAUGUAGGCAGUUGUGCUUUACAAUUAUGCAUACAGAGAGAGAUUGUGGGGGAAAGCUAUUUUUCCAUAUGGAUUUAACUCACAGGCCUUCAGUUUGUUGGAAAAAAGAUUUUUAUUGUGUUAGUGAGGGAAAACUUGCAGGUCAGUGGGCAUUAGCCUUAAAGGUUGGUAAACACUUGUACACUGAAGCAUACAAUACUGUACAAUUACUGACAUAGGCAUGUGCUAUUCAGGCGUCAAAGCUGUGUGAAACUGGAGGGAGAAACUUGAGAGACCGUGCCGGAAGAAUGCUGGACAGAGUUCCAUAAAAUUCAUUAAUUUCAAAGUUCCACAUGAAUGGUGGUGGUCCACUGCAGAAGCAAGCAUUUGAAAAAACAUCAGUUCUCAGUUAUUAAAGAUGCUGUGUUGAACAACUUUCCAGCAGCAACAGAACUGGAAGUGAAGGUUGCAAUGGGGGCAUUUCAAACAGGCACCAGGGAGGACAUGGUGUAUAGAAAUUAGUACAAUUAAGUUGAAGUGAACUGAAGAUAGUUUGUUAAUGUUUAGAUGUUAUUUCAUUUUUAAAAUUGUAUUUUGUUAUUUAUGCUUUUAUUUUGUUACUGUUGUUAUUCU